rnacentral:rRNA from 1 species
UACGGAGGAUGCGAGCGUUAUCCGGAUUUAUUGGGUUUAAAGGGUGCGUAGGUGGUCCGUUAAGUCAGCGGUAAAAUUGCGGGGCUCAACCCCGUCGAGCCGUUGAAACUGUCAGACUUGAGUUGGCGAGAAGUACGCGGAAUGCGCGGUGUAGCGGUGAAAUGCAUAGAUAUCGCGCAGAACUCCGAUUGCGAAGGCAGCGUACCGGCGCCACACUGACGCUGAGGCACGAAAGCGUGGGGAUCGAACAGG